rnacentral:rRNA from 1 species
CGGGGGGAGCAAGCGUUGUUCGGAUUUACUGGGCGUAAAGGGCGCGUAGGCGGCGCAACAAGUCACUUGUGAAAUCUCCGGGCUUAACUCGGAGCGGCCAAGUGAUACUGUCGUGCUAGAGUGCGGAAGGGGCUACUGGAAUUCUCGGUGUAGCGGUGAAAUGCGUAGAUAUCGAGAGGAACACCUGCGGCGAAGGCGGGUAGCUGGGCCGACACUGACGCUGAGGCGCGAAAGCUAGGGGAGCGAACGGGAUUAGAUACCCCGGUAGUCCUAGCCUUAAACGAUGGAUGCUCGGUGUCCGGGGUUACAUAGUCCCCGGGUGCCGUCGCUAACGCCUUAAGCAUCCCGCCUGGGGAGUACGGUCGCAAGACUG